UUCCCUCAGUAGCGGCGAGUGAAGCGGGAAAAGCCCAUCGCCGAAUCCCCGCGUCCCAGAGGCGCGUGGGAAAUGUGGCGUAAGGAAGCCGUGGCUAACCGGGGACGCGGAGCCGACGUCCUUGUGAAGGAGGCUCUCAUCCCAUAGAGUGUGUUAGGCCCCCGCAGGCGCCCGUCGCCGGUGGCCUUUUGGCUUUCAAGAGUCGGGUUGUUUUGGAAUGCAGCCCAAAGACGGGUGGUAAACUCCAUCCAAGGCUAAAUACUAGGCACGAGACCGAUAGAUGACAAGUACCAUGAGGGAAAGUUGAAAAGAACUUUGAAGAGAGAGUUCAAUAGGACGUGAAGCUGCCGAGAAGUAAACGGAAGGGCCCCGCACACCGGGGCCGGGAGAUUCAGCGCAGGGGGAGGUAGCGGCGCCCCGUUCCGUCUGCGGAUUCCCCUCGGGGAACCCUGGCGGGGCGGGUCGAUGCAGCCACCCGUCGCGCGCAUUUCUCCCGUGCCUCUGGGGUUGGCAACCGACCGCUGAUCGGCCGAUUGGACGCGGCGAAGGCAGGUACCUCAUACGGGUCUUCGGGCCCGGAGAGGACGUAUAGUCUCGCCGUCCGCAUCGGUCGCAAGGUCGAGGAAAGAAGACCACGUUCCGCGCCUGCUCAGGCCUUCGGGCCAUGGGGCUGGAGCCGCCGGACUCCCGCUCGUGCGGCGUACGGGGACUGUUCUCAGUGCCCGCUCGCUCGUGCGGUCGAGAAAGGCCGGAUCGCCUCUCAGGUGCACGGGGUUUGCCAACUUGGCCGGGCGCCUUUUCGACCCGUCUUGAAACACGGACCAAGGAGUCUAACGGGCACGCAAGUCGAAGGGCCGUAUACGAAGCCCCUAGGCGCAAUGAAAGUAAAGGGCGGUGUAGAUCGUCCGAGGUGGGAUCCGCGUCCUCUGGGCGCGGCGCACCACCGCCCCGUCUCGUCCGCUUAGCUCGGUGAGGCGGAGGAAGAGCGUGUACGCUAGGACCCGAAAGAUGGUGAACUAUGCCCGAGCAGGAUGAAGCCAGAGGAAACUCUGGUGGAGGUCCGCAGCGAUUCUGACGUGCAAAUCGAUCGCCCGUA
rnacentral:rRNA from 1 species